rnacentral:rRNA from 1 species
UACGUAGGGGGGCUAGCGUUGUCUGGAAUCAUUGGGGCGUAAAAGCGCGUGUAGGCGGUUCGGUAAGUCCGCUGUGAAAGUCGGGGGCUCAACCCUCGGAAGCCGGUGGAUACUGUCGAGCUAGAGUACGGAAGAGGCGAGUGGAAUUCCUGGUGUAGCGGUGAAAUGCGCAGAUAUCAGGAGGAACACCGGUGGCGAAGGCGGGGUCUCUGGGCCGAAAACUGACGCUGAGGAGCGAAAGCGUGGGGGAGCAAACAGG